UCAAGUGAAUAAGAGCAUGUGGUGGAUGCCUUGGCAAUGAUAGGCGACGAAGGACGUGAUAGCCUGCGAUAAGCUUCGGGGAGCUGGCAAAUUAGCUUUGAUCCGGAGAUUUCCGAAUGGGGAAACCCACCCGCAAGGGUAUCGCACACUGAAUCCAUAGGUGUGCGAGGCGAACCGGGUGAACUGAAACAUCUCAGUAGCUCGAGGAAAAGACAUCAACCGAGAUUCCGAAAGUAGUGGCGAGCGAAAUCGGAGAAGCCUGCACGUUUUAGCAGUCGAUCUAUCAGAACGGUCUGGAAAGUCCGGCCAUAGCGGGUGAUAGCCCCGUAUGAAAAAGGUUGAUUGUGGAACUGGGCGUGCGACAAGUAGGGCGGGACACGUGUAAUCCUGUCUGAAGAUGGGGGGACCAUCCUCCAAGGCUAAAUACUCGUAAUCGACCGAUAGCGAACUAGUACCGUGAGGGAAAGGCGAAAAGAACCCCGGGAGGGGAGUGAAAUAGAUCCUGAAACCGCAUGCAUACAAAAAGUCGGAGCCCGCAAGGGUGACGGCGUACCUUUUGUAUAAUGGGUCAGCGACUUACAUUCAGUGGCAAGCUUAACCGAAUAGGGAAGGCGCAGGGAAACCGAGUCCGAACAGGGCGUUCAGUCGCUGGGUGUAGACCCGAAACCAGGUGAUCUAUCCAUGGCCAGGAUGAAGGUGCCGUAACAGGUACUGGAGGUCCGAACCGACUAGUGUUGCAAAACUAGCGGAUGAGCUGUGGAUAGGGGUGAAAGGCUAAACAAACUUGGAGAUAGCUGGUUCUCUCCGAAAACUAUUUAGGUAGUGCCUCAAGUAUUACCAUCGGGGGUAGAGCACUGUUAUGGCUAGGGGGUCAUGGCGACUUACCAAACCAUUGCAAACUCCGAAUACCGAUGAGUACAGCUUGGGAGACAGUGCACCGGGUGCUAACGUCCGGACACAAGAGGGAAACAACCCAGACCGCCAGCUAAGGUCCCUAAUAUUGGCUAAGUGGGAAACGAAGUGGGAAGGCUAAAACAGUCAGGAUGUUGGCUUAGAAGCAGCCAUCAUUUAAAGAAAGCGUAAUAGCUCACUGAUCGAGUCGUCCUGCGCGGAAGAUGUAACGGGGCUAAGCCAGUAACCGAAGCUGCGGGUGCGUCGCAAGACGCGCGGUAGGAGAGCGUUCUGUACGCCUGUGAAGGUGGAUCGCGAGGUCUGCUGGAGGUAUCAGAAGUGCGAAUGCUGACAUGAGUAGCGUUAAAGGGGGUGAAAAGCCCCCUCGCCGUAAGCGCAAGGUUUCCUACGCAACGUUCAUCGGCGUAGGGUGAGUCGGCCCCUAAGGCGAGGCAGAGAUGCGUAGCUGAUGGGAAACAGGUCAAUAUUCCUGUACCGAUGUGUAGUGCGAUGUGGGGACGGAGAAGGUUAACUCAGCCGGGUGUUGGAUGUCCCGGUUCAAGCCUGUAGUCGUGGUCUCUAGGCAAAUCCGGAGAUCUUAGAUGAGGGGUGAUAACGAGGCGGCUUGCCGCUGAAGUGAGUGAUACCCUGCUUCCAGGAAAAGCCACUAAGCUCCAGCUACACACGACCGUACCGCAAACCGACACUGGUGCGCGAGAUGAGUAUUCUAAGGCGCUUGAGAGAACUCUGGAGAAGGAACUCGGCAAAUUGACACCGUAACUUCGGAAGAAGGUGUGCCUUUAGUAGGUGAAGUUGUACAAACGGAGCCCAAUGAGGCCGCAGAGAAUCGGUGGCUGCGACUGUUUAUUAAAAACACAGCACUCUGCAAAGACGAAAGUCGACGUAUAGGGUGUGACGCCUGCCCGGUGCUGGAAGAUUAAAUGAUGGGGUGCAAGCUCUUGAUUGAAGUCCCAGUAAACGGCGGCCGUAACUAUAACGGUCCUAAGGUAGCGAAAUUCCUUGUCGGGUAAGUUCCGACCUGCACGA
rnacentral:rRNA from 1 species